rnacentral:lncRNA from 1 species
AUGAAAGAAAGACGAGUCCAGGCCACGACCCAUAGAGUCUGCUGCAGCCCUGACAACAAGGAUGGGACCCAAGCCCCAACACAGGCAACCCAUAGAGUUGUCUGCUGCAGCCCUGACAACAAGGAUGGGACCCAAGCCCCAACACAGGCAACCCAUAGAGUUGUCUGCUGCAGCCCUGACAACAAGGAUGGGACCCAAGCCCCAACACAGGCAACCCAUAGAGUUGUCUGCUGCAGCCCUGACAACAAGGAUGGGACCCAAGCCCCAACACAGGCAACCCAUAGAGUUGUCUGCUGCAGCCCUGAUAACAAGGAUGGGACCCAAGCCCCAACACAGGCAACCCAUAGAGUUGUCUGCUGCAGCCCUGAUAACAAGGAUGGGACCCAAGCCCCAACACAGGCAACCCAUAGAGUUGUCUGCUGCAGCCCUGACAACAAGGAUGGGACCCAAGCCCCAACACAGGCAACCCAUAGAGUUGUCUGCUGCAGCCCUGAUAACAAGGAUGGGACCCAAGCCCCAACACAGGCAACCCAUAGAGUUGUCUGCUGCAGCCCUGAUAACAAGGAUGGGACCCAAGCCCCAACACAGGCAACCCAUACCAAACACAUACUAGUAUGGAUGAAAACAUCUAUACAGUUACGUAUCGCAAUAUUCUUUUUGGACAAUAUUCUAUUGACAUUUGACUCCAAGUAUCAAUUUGUAAUGUUUUUAGUUUUGCUACUGUUGGUAGCGUUAGAUAGCUCUAGUCGGCUGUAUCUAUGCCAAAACGCUGCUAUUCUUCAUCCUACAGAGGGUAGUGUGAACGCCACAGUACAUCACUGGGGCAAAGCUGCCUGCCAUCCAGGACCUCUACACCAGGCGGUGUCAGAGGAAGGACCUAAAAAUUGUUAUAGCCUCGCUACUGUAUAUAGCCUCGCUACUGUAUAUAGCCUCUCUACUGUAUAUAGCCUCGCUACUCUAUAUAGCCUCGCCACUCUAUAUAGCCUCGCUACUUUUAUUGCCUCGCUACUCUAUAUAGCCUCACUACUGUAUAUAGCCUCUCUACUGUAUAUAGCCUCGCUACUCUAUAUAGCCUCGCCACUCUAUAUAGCCUCGCUACUUUUAUUGCCUCGCUACUCUAUAUAG